UGGGGAAUUUUGGACAAUGGGCGCAAGCCUGAUCCAGCCAUGCCGCGUGCGGGAAGAAGGCCUUCGGGUUGUAAACCGCUUUUGUCAGGGAAGAAAUCUUCUGAGUUAAUACCUCGGGGAGGAUGACGGUACCUGAAGAAUAAGCACCGGCUAACUACGUGCCAGCAGCCGCGGUAAUACGUAGGGUGCAAGCGUUAAUCGGAAUACUGGGCGUAAAGCGUGCGCAGGCGGUUUUGUAAGACAGAGGUGAAAUCCCCGGGCUCAACCUGGGAACUGCCUUUGUGACUGCAAGGCUUGAGUGCGGCAGAGGGGGAUGGAAUUCCGCGUGUAGCAGUGAAAUGCGUAGAUAUGCGGAGGAACACCGAUGGCGAAGGCAAUCCCCUGGGCCUGCACUGACGCUCAUGCACGAAAGCGUGGGGAGCAAACAGGAUUAGAUACCCUGGUAGUCCACGCCCUAAAACGAUGUCAACUGGUUGUUGGGAAGGUUCCUUCUCAGUAACGUAGCUAACGCGUGAAGUUGACCGCCUGGGGAGUACGGCCGCAAGGUUGAAAC
rnacentral:rRNA from 1 species